rnacentral:SRP_RNA from 1 species
GCCGGGCGCGGUGGCACGCGCCUGUAGUCCCAGCUACUCGGGAGGCUGAGGUGGGAGGAUCGCUUGAGUCCAGGAGUUCUGGGCUGUAGUGCGCUAUGCCGAUCGGGUGUCCGCACUAAGUUCGGCAUCAAUAUGGUGACCUCCCGGGAGCGGGGGGCCACCAGGUUGCCUAAGGAGGGGUGAACCGGCCCAGGUCGGAAACGGAGCAGGUCAAAACUCCCGUGCUGAUCAGUAGUGGGAUCGCGCCUGUGAAUAGCCACUGCACUCCAGCCUGGGCAACAUAGCGAGACCCCGUCUCU